GUUCGGCUUUUUUUCGUCAUUUGAAGGAGUUUUAAGAGCUGAAAAGUCGAGUUUGCACCAUUUCUUCCGUCGAUGUCCAGUAGACGUGUUAAAGGCAAAGACUGUAAAGGGGAGCGCCCUUGAGACAACUAAGAUGGCUGCAGCUGAUGUGGAACUUCCUGUUGAUUGGCUUUUGUAGCUCCAAAGUGCUGCCCACGCCUCAGAUUUUCUCAGUGACUCAGGUGGGGUUAAUCAAGAGGAGAGUAGGAAAAGACGCACAUCCCAGUGAUGCAUUGUGACAACUAAUUUGCAGCGGUUGUAGCAUAUCAGCCCCACCCACCGAAUCCGCCGCCACUCAGUGUCCUCGGCCCCCGUUCCUCCUCCACCCUCAUACGUCCUAUUUGAGAGAAUUAGGAGGGAAUCAAUCAUUUGUCGGGGUC